rnacentral:snoRNA from 1 species
ACCUGCAUUCGCAAGGGGUUGAGGUCUCGCCCAUGACUCGGUCGUUGACAGUGCAGGGAGAGGAGCUCCGAAAGCAUUUCCCCCUGUUCAGUGGGUUCGAUCCCGUCCCUCCCAAGCCCUGUAGCCUUCAGACA